CUCCGUGGCUCCUCUAGCGGGCAGAUACGAACGUCGAGGGUCGUGACUCGUGACUGUGGCAUCUGUGGUCGCGCGCGCGUGUUCAUUGUGCAUUGUAGUGUGCGUGGUGCAUAAUGUCAAAUGCGAUUUCGUCAAGGCGCAGGCGUGGUGGUACCCAGUAUUGCUGUGUCGUUCAGUGCCAUAAUAGCCUCCAGAACACGAAAGGCCGAUACCCGCCCGUUAAAUUCUACAGAUUUCCUGCCAAAUGGUACGAAACGGAGAGGAGAGAAGCGUGGAUAGCUGCUGUCCGCAGAGUCAAUCCCGAUAGGACACCUUGGGAGCCGACGAAGACCUCGCGCAUUUGCAGUGACCAUUUUGUCGGCAAUUGCAAGAGAGAUGUAAGCCAGCACCCAUCUUAUGUCCCUACCAUCUUCCCAUCUGUGUACCAGAAGAAAAGAGCAAACCUCGUAAGAGCAGAAAGGUGGGAGCAAUGUUCGGUAGAGCAACAGCAUUCACGGCUAUCCCCCCCUAUGGAAGAAACAACAGAACACAUGCUGGCAGACUCCAGCAACUCAGGGCACCAUACCGGUCCCACUCUUUCAGAACUGGCAGAGACGUCUAUAAAUACAGAGCCAGUUGACCUGCAGCUCUCAAAUAGCACAAUGACACAAGUUCCAGCUGUAGCAGCAGUUGAUGUUUCAUGCCAGACGGAAUGCUCACCUUCAGGCAAGCUCUCUAUUCUGGUGUCGGCAACAGACGGUGCUGCAGCGUCAACUCAAGUUACUCACGCCCAGCAACUUGACAAGGUGUGCCAUUGUUCGGUGGUGAAGCUUGAGCCUUGUGAGGACUGGAGCUGGAUGGGCUGAUCUGGCUGACGUCCUGGCUCGGUCAUAGUUGCUGUGAUGGUGAGCAACUCACUUGGCAACAUGAGCGCAUCCCGCUUCUCGAAGAAACUGGAAUAUACAUUCGGGGCAGCACUACACGGAACAGGUUGCGAGGUCAAGCCAGAAUUGUACGCUUGGCGAUCAACGUGCAACCUCAAGGUGUCAGCGAGACCGCUGCAGUGAUGACAUAUGGCUCCUCCAGGCAAUAGUAGUAGGCACUUGUUGUGUAUCCAGCUCUUCUGGGAGUCUACUGAAGCACACUCUGGAUGCACACUCGCGAAGUCCUUUAAACUCGGCCCUCCCCAGCACACGUUAAGGCUAUCAAUGGUUUUGAGCAUGACUUCGAUAUCGGAUGGCGACGUGGCAAACGAACUUACACCAACAGCAGCACAAUCAAUUGGCCUGCCAAAGACAUGCACCUCAACUGUGAGGUCACUUUUCACACGCAAUGUCUCUUUAUUGAAAAUUACUGAAGAACCGUUCCUUUGCCUGUGUAUUACCUGUGCGUCAAUAAACACAAUGUGUCUCACCCCUUCAACGUCGGUGCGAUGUGCUGCACAUGAAUGCUGAACGAGUUGCGACAGAUGUGCUGUAUGAGCAGCCGCAGCCCGCAGCACACCACACAAGCUCAAGCCAGCAGUGGACAUGCUGUUCGGGCUGCUCUAGCAAAAUAUUUCUUUAAAGAAAAUCGGUGAAAAAUCGCAUAAUGCUGAGUUUCUAGAAGACUCUAUCAUGAA